rnacentral:rRNA from 1 species
UACAGAGGUCUCAAGCGUUGUUCGGAUUCAUUGGGCGUAAAGGGUGCGUAGGCGGCGAGGUAAGUCGGGUGUGAAAUCUUGGAGCUUAACUCCGAAACUGCAUUCGAUACUGCCGUGCUUGAGGACUGGAGAGGAGACUGGAAUUUACGGUGUAGCGGUGAAAUGCGUAGAUAUCGUAAGGAAGACCAGUGGCGAAGGCGGGUCUCUGGACAGUUCCUGACGCUGAGGCACGAAGGCCAGGGGAGCAAACGGG